ensembl:snoRNA SNORD33 Small nucleolar RNA Z195/SNORD33/SNORD32 family
CUUGUCAGUGAUGUUAAACCACUGUAAAGUUCGAGUUUCAUUGACCAUGAGAAGAGCUUACAUGCACUACCAUCUGAGACAAC